CGGGCCCUUGACGAGGCUUGUUCGGUCCAUGGGCCGCAGACCGCGGUCCAUGGUACCAACAGUACUCCCCCCUCCCUCGAUGGGCUCGGGUCCGGGGGCUAUCCGUCCGUACCCGGCCUUCAACCUCCCCCCUUUAUUAGUCUUAAAGAUUCCUCGAGGUUCGAGCUGCUCCCACUUCUCCCCUCCUAUAAAUAGCGCCCUCGCCACUUUGGCAUCUCACCCCAUCCUUCCUUCGCAAUGAGCAUCCAGGAU
rnacentral:lncRNA from 1 species